ACUGCAUGUUUAACAAAUAGCACAGCAAAACUGAUUAGUGAGUCCAGGUUGAAAAGGAUUAGAUUAGACAGACAGGCAGACAUUUAGAUUAGAACAGAGUAGAUUAGCUGCAUGUUACAGAUGGGAGCAGUCACUGUGCCAGGGGGAGAUCUGGAUUAAGCCACUUGCAAAAGCUGAGCGAUUCCACAGCAGCUUUGGGGCGAGGGAAGGGGAACUAGAACUAUCCAUAGAGAACAUGAGAAAAGCAGCGACUUUGCUGAAGCUCCUCUCACGCAAGCAGACUGGUGCUGUAUCAAAUAUUCCUCUUGCAUACCCCUACCAGAAUGGUCUUUUGCCAAUAGUUGAUCACAAUCUGAACGGCAGAUUCAGAAGAUGGAGAAGGAUCAGCAACAAGCAACGAUCCCCAGCAGCAACUGGAAAGGUUUAAAAUAAUUUCAAUCAAAGCAACUUUUUCAAAGAAAGAGAAAAGAAAGAAAAAGAAGAAAAAGAACAUAACUAGUCCCAAGGGCUCCAUGGACUUUUUCCUCAUUAAAGCAAAUCAGUCCUAAAUCACAAGCACAGUUUGUCUUCACAAUAUCGUUAAGUCUACAGUUUUGUCAUACCAGAAGGUCAUCAAUAUAACAGGGUUUUCUGUAUCUUCUUACUCUCUGGAAAAGUUACUUGUCAUGGCUGUGACACCUUAAAGACUAACAAUUUCAUUGUAGCAUAUGCUCCCAUGGGUUAGAAGCCACUUCAUCAGAUUCAUGAAGGGUUAUCCACAGUUGCCAAAUAGUUGGCCAUACUGGGCUUGAUGGGAUAUGUAGAGGUCUUCCCUUAUGUUUAAAAACCAGAUUCUUUCUCCACUUGUGUUUGUCCUGACCCAAUAGUGCAGUGAGACAUUGUUUGCACAUGAGGGGGGAAUAGCCAUGUAUAUUAGAAGUGCACUGCUGUGCAGGUAAG